UAGUCAUAUGCUUGUCUCAAAGAUUAAGCCAUGCAUGUCUCAGUGUAAACUUUUAAACGGUGAAACUGCGAAUGGCUCAUUACAACAGUUAUAGUUUAUUUGAUGUUCAUUCUUACAUGGAUAACCGUGGGAAUUCCAGGGCUAAUACAUGCGGCUCGAAAGAGCGAGUGUUUAUUAGAUUCAAACCAAAACCGGGCAACCGGGUACAUUGGAAUGAUAAUAACCUAUCGAAUCGCAUGCCGUAUGGCGGCGAUAGAUCAUUCAAGUUUCUGACCUA
rnacentral:rRNA from 1 species